GGGGCUGGGGCUCAGUGGUAGAGUGCUUGCCUAGCACAUGUGAGGCAUUGAGGGCGAUCCUCAGCACCACAUUAAAAAAUUAAUUCAAUAAAGGUAUUGUGUCCAUCUACAGCUAAAAAAAAAUUUAUUUUUAAAUGCGGAGGGGUCUGGGGUGUAAGUCAGCGAUAGAGCAGCACCCUGGGUUCAAUCCCCAGCACCCCCU
rnacentral:tRNA from 1 species